GCUUCCCGAGCGCCGGCAGCGGGGGGGCUCCACGCCUGGCGGUGCAGGGCUCCGAAGCCGCGUUCCCCCUUCCCCAAACGCCGCCGGUAGCGUAGCGAGGGGACCCCUGUGUCCCCCCCGGCCCGGAGCCGCCUCGGGAGGCGGCCGCGCCGCACGCCCAUCCCCGAACGCCGCGGCCGCCGCCGCUCCCCGCGGCCGCCGGGCUGGUGUCACCCCCCUGCCGCUGCCCCCGCGCCGAUUCUCCCCUCCCCGGCAAAGUUGCUUUCUUUAAACGACACCUCCAGGCCGGGAGCCGGGCGCUUUCCUUCCCCCCGCCGAUCUGGGGGUGAGCUCCGGGGCUCGGGGUGGCUCCGCGGCUCUUCCCCCGCUCGCAGCUCGGCUCCGGCGGCGGCAGCGGCCGCGGCCGCCGUUAUUAUUGUUGUGGUGGGCGGCUGGAGGCUGCGGCGGACGGGCGGCGGCUGCCGCUGGAUCAGCUCCGGCCCCGGCGGCUCCUGAUCGAGGAGGGCCACUCGGCUGGCACCGGCGCCGACAGGGUUACGCUCCCACACCCCUCCUCUUCCACGAGCGUCCACAGCAAACGCCCGGCGGCUUCAAGAAGUUUACUGCAGUUUACCCCAACCGGGCCGCCGCUCUCUCACGGCGACCAGUGGGUGCCCGCGGGCUCCCGCGGGACAAGCGCUGCCGCCCCCGGCCCCGCCGCGCCCCGGGCCCCGCGCCCGCCCCGCUGGAGCGCGCCCUCGGCGCCGCGGCAGGAACCGGAGUCGCUGCCGCCCUCCGCGCCCGCCCCGCACCUUGCGCCGCGCUCCGCACCCACUCGCGCAGGAAAAUAAAAUGUUUGCUGCUUAUGAUUUCCAA